rnacentral:rRNA from 1 species
GAUGAACGCUAGCUACAGGCUUAACACAUGCAAGUCGCGGGGCAGCAUGGGGGUUGCUUGCAAUCCCCGAUGGCGACCGGCGCACGGGUGAGUAACGCGUAUCCAACCUGCCCUUCACCACGGGAUAACCCGGCGAAAGUCGGACUAAUACCGUAUGUUGUCCAUUGACGGCAUCCGAUUUGGACGAAAGGUUUGGCGGUGAAGGAUGGGGAUGCGUCCGAUUAGCUGGACGGCGGGGUGACGGCCCACCGUGGCGGCGAUCGGUAGGGGGUCGGAGAGGAAGGUCCCCCACACUGGAACUGAGACACGGGCCAGACUCCUACGGGAGGCAGCAGUGAGGAAUAUUGGUCAAUGGGCGUAAGCCUGAACCAGCCAAGUAGCGUGCAGGAUGACGGCCCUAUGGGUUGUAAACUGCUUUUAUGCGGGGAUAAAGUGGCCCACGUGUGGGUUUUUGCAGGUACCGCAUGAAUAAGGACCGGCUAAUUCCGUG